ACUCAAAUGAAUUGACGGGGGCCCGCACAAGCGGCGGAGCAUGUGGAUUAAUUCGAUGCAACGCGAAGAACCUUACCUGGGUUUGACAUGCACAGGACGCCGGUAGAGAUAUCGGUUCCCUUGUGGCCUGUGUGCAGGUGGUGCAUGGCUGUCGUCAGCUCGUGUCGUGAGAUGUUGGGUUAAGUCCCGCAACGAGCGCAACCCUUGUCUCAUGUUGCCAGCGCGUUAUGGCGGGGACUCGUGAGAGACUGCCGGGGUCAACUCGGAGGAAGGUGGGGAUGACGUCAAGUCAUCAUGCCCCUUAUGUCCAGGGCUUCACACAUGCUACAAUGGCCGGUACAAAGGGCUGCGAUGCCGUGAGGCUUAGCGAAUCCUUUAAAGCCGGUCUCAGUUCGGAUCGGGGUCUGCAACUCGACCCCGUGAAGUCGGAGUCGCUAGUAAUCGCAGAUCAGCAACGCUGCGGUGAAUACGUUCCCGGGCCUUGUACACACCGCCCGU
rnacentral:rRNA from 1 species